AAAAAGACAAACCCUGAGUUUCCGUGUCCAACGUUUAACUAUCCGUCUUAUUUGAAAAAAUUAAGAAAAAAAAUUAAAAAAGACAAGUCACGCAUAAAGUAUUAAUCAUGUUUUAUCAUCUAACAACAAUGAAAAUACUAAUUAUAAAAAAAUUUCAUAUAAGACGGACAGUCAAACGUUGGACACGAAAACUCAGGAUUUGGCUUUUU
rfam:Oryza sativa Japonica Group DNA, chromosome 6, cultivar: Nipponbare, complete sequence.